GCAAACCCCCCAGCGUCCUGGGCUACUGGACAUAGUGUGGUCAUUAUCGCAUUGUCGUUUGUGGGAGCUUGCUGUGUGAAAAUUGGCUGCCAUGUUUCCUACAUUACAACAGCGACUACAUUUCAAAAAGUAUUUCAUUGACUGUAAAGUGCUUCAAGAGAAGCAAUGGGAUGAAAACCGCGGUAGAAAUGUAAAUUCUUUCCCCCUUUAUUGGCCGCCGGCAACACGAACAGGGGCAGCACGGUAAACAACGCCAAGACGCAGCCAUACUCGGUGGGAAAGUCCUUCAGUGCUCACACAUGCAGUUGAAACCGGCCAAAGACCGCGUGAAACUUCUGCGAAACUCGCCCAACACCUCAAGGGGAAACUUCCCUUAAACCUAACUCAAGCCACCGACCUGUCACAGAUCAGACCUGGGGUGCGUUUAUCCCUCCUUCAAAUCUAUCCGUCGCCAGUCCCAGCUUUACUCCUAAAAUGAAUCCGAGCAUUAAAAAAAAGGGGGCAAGGGGCUGGGGGGGUUGGAAAAUAAAAGAAAUUAUCUCCUUCAAAAAUCGCGGAUUGGAAGAAAACCGCACGAGUUUCACAUGAUCUAAAGAGCCAAGAAUCUGUGACACGCCCACUCUGAAAUCAUUAUUUAAUUUGUGGUUGCAUGAAUGAAUGCUAUGAGCUUAUAUGCAGGCCAGCAACUGCCUGACAAAUGUAUUGUUUGGAAACAUGGAAAACAGCAACUCAGGAGUGACAUUACAGUGCAGUGGAAGUCGAUGCUAACAGAGCUCAGUCAAAAAUGAACAAGCCAAUAAGAGUACAUUCGACUUUUCACAAGUUUUGAAGGUCCACUAACUCGUUGGUUAAACAGUAUUAAAACUGGGGUACACUGUGGAAUAUAUUAAUAUGGAGAGACUAGAGAAUCUUGGACUGUUCUCCUUAGAGCAGAGAAGGCUAAGGGAAGAUUUGAUAGAGGUGUUCAAAUUCGUGAAGAGUUUUGAUGAAGCAAAUAUGGAGAAGCUUUCCAAUUCUAGAAGGGUCUGUAAUCAGACAACAUAUUAAAGAUACUUGAUAAAAGAGACAGAGGUUCACCAGCAGGCAUUCGCUCUUCGGACCCUGAAGGACCACGCCUGACACCGGAGGACCACCAUGCUCCCCAAGCACCUGCAUCAAACCCACUCCCUGGACCAGGCACCAACGCAAAUCCCAGCACCUUGAGCCAAUUCCCGGCCUGAAGACAUGAAAAUGGACGAACUUUCCUGGCUGGCACACGCGCGGAAAUCCUGAGGCCAAACCACAACUCCUAUUUAAAGUUAUGUUUCAUCAUAAAAUCAGGCUGUUGUAACGUUUACUGUUUUACUGUGCUUUCAUGUGGCAUUUGAAUCUGUUGUUUUUGACAUAGACCACAUUUGUAGGCAUAUCAGGAUACCAUAGAGAUGCUUUCGUGUGGGAAUGGGCCCUCCUCGACUAUCAUAAACAUUCCACUUAACACAAAGUUGUGGGCAGAUCCCCUGGGAUUCGACUCAUCGGGAUUUUCCUAUGGUAGGGUGGAUAAAGAAGAACCAGUAGGUGUAGCCAAACUUGGAUUUCCGAAAAGCAUUCAACAAGAUGCUACACGAAAGGUUAACACACAAGGUAAUGGCUCAUGGAGUUGGGGAUAAUAUAUUAGCAUGGAUACAGGAUUGGUUAAUGGACUGGAAACAGAGUAGGAUAAACAGAGUAUUUUUGAAUUGGCUGUAACUACUGGAUGCUGCACGGAUCCGUGCUGAGGCCGCAGCUAUUUACAAUCUACACCACU